rnacentral:rRNA from 1 species
AGAGUUUGAUCAUGGCUCAGGACGAACGCUGGCGGCUGCCUAAUGCAUGCAAGUCGAACGCAGAGCGCGUGCGCUGCUGCGUGGCAACGGCUGAGGAACACGUGGGUAUCCGCCCCGGAGUGGGGGAUAGCGCCCGAAAGCGGCGGUAAUCCCGCAUACGCUCGCGCCGCGCGGGCGCGAGGAAGGCCGCUCGGUCGCUCCGGGAAGAGCCUGCGGCCCAUCAGGUAGUUGGGGGGUAACGGCCUCCCAAGCCGAUGACGGGUACCUGGUCUGAGAGGACGCCAGGCAGACUGGGACUGAGACACGGCCCAGACUCCUACGGGAGGCAGCGCAAGGAAUUUUCCCCAAUGGGCGCAAGCCUGAGGGAGCAACGCCGCGUGAGGACGACGGCCUUCGGGUUGUAAACUCCUUUUCGAGGGGACGAAGCCGACGGUACCUUCGGAAGAAGCCCCGGCUAACUCCGUGCCAGCAGCCGCGUAAGACGGAGGGGGCGAGCGUUGUCCGGAAUUACUGGGCGUAAAGCGCGGUAGGCGGUCGGGUGCGUCGGCGCUGAAAGCGCCCGGCUCAACCGGGCGGGCGUGCCGAUACGA